AUUGAACGCUGGCGGCAUGCCUUACACAUGCAAGUCGAACGGCAGCACGGGUGCUUGCACCUGGUGGCGAGUGGCGAACGGGUGAGUAAUACAUCGGAACGUACCUUAUCGUGGGGGAUAACGCAGCGAAAGCUGUGCUAAUACCGCAUACGCCCUGAGGGGGAAAGCGGGGGAUCGCAAGACCUCGCGCGAUUAGAGCGGCCGAUGCCUGAUUAGCUUGUGGGUGGGGUAAAAGCCCACCAAGGCGACGAUCAGUAGCUGGUCUGAGAGGACGAUCAGCCACACUGGGACUGAGACACGGCCCAGACUCCUACGGGAGGCAGCAGUGGGGAAUUUUGGACAAUGGGGGCAACCCUGAUCCAGCAAUGCCGCGUGAGUGAAGAAGGCCUUCGGGUUGUAAAGCUCUUUUGUCAGGGAAGAAACACCGGCUCUAACACAGUCUGGGAAUGACGGUACCUGAAGAAUAAGCACCGGCUAACUACGUGCCAGCAGCAGCCGCCG
rnacentral:rRNA from 1 species